rfam:Listeriaceae bacterium FSL A5-0281 contig000023, whole genome shotgun sequence.
ACCACUUUUAAAGGCAGUCCGGAGAGGCUGACAAAGGGUGAUUGGAUUUUACGGUAUAACUGUACCUAAAUUCAGUACAUAACUACUCUUUGUCGCAAUUUUAGGCAGAGAGUAUUUUUUAU